rnacentral:rRNA from 1 species
UACGAGGGGUCCUAGCGUUGUUCGGAAUCAUUGGGCGUAAAGAGCUCGUAGGUGGCCUAGUAAGUCAGGUGUGAAAGCCCAGAGCUCAACUCUGGAAGUGCACUUGAAACUGCAUGGCUUGAGUACGGUAGAGGUGAGUGGAAUACCUGGUGUAGUGGUGAAAUACGUAGAUAUCAGGUGGAACAUCGGUGGCGAAGGCGGCUCACUGGACCAGUACUGACACUGAGGAGCGAAAGCAUGGGGAUCAAACAGG